UUUUUUUUCUUUAAUACAAAUAUAUCGAUCUCAAGAUUUUAUUUUGAAAUAAUAGAAAGUUUAUGACAAAAGAAAUCGAAUGAGAAACUUUUUAAACCUCGUGGGACCUAACUUAAAACUCUCAAAAGUCCAGUUGAAAUUUUUCCUAUAUACUAUCUCACUUCCCAUCAUUCACUUCUAUAUCUUCUCGUCAGUCAUCGUUAUAAGCACGGCACUUUACGAAUAGAUGGGGAGACAUACGUCUCGACAUUUAUUUAUAUUCAUACUUAGGUAAAUUUAUAUCGUCCCGUAAAAGGUAGAUCGCGAAAGUGCAUGUCUCGAUAAUGAUAUAUCGUUUCGUUAUUAUACAAGAUGAAGACAAAUUUAUAGAUGAAGAUUGUGGAAGACAAAUUUCGUUUGUUGUUAUUCGAAAAGAAACAUACGAAUGCGUCAUCGGUCGAAGUCGAAUAAACGGCCGGUCAUUGAACCGUCGGUGAUUCUUGCCAAUAAAGCGGACCCGAGAAGUGUGCUCGCUCUAAUUUCGAUCAAUUAAUACGAGACCGAGGCCACUCGACGAAACUCUUGACUUCUGUCUUCUAAAAUCCAUAUGUAAUCCAAACGAAAUAGUAUUCGAAAUUAAAUAUUAUGAGUUUUAUUUAGGAGAUUAUUUAGAAAAAUCAUUACGAGCUUGACAGAUUUAUAAUUAUACUUUUAUUUAUUUAUCGUGGCGUUUAUCAUCGCUAAUGAGUUAUUUAUCUUUUUCUUUUUUUUUUUUUCUUUUUAGAUCGUUUCAUUUGAGAAAUUUACACUGACAAUUUUUUAAAGAACAUAAAUAUAAUAUUUGUAUUUUCUAAAACAUUGUCUCUACGCGCGAUAUAAAAUUGAGAAGUAAAAGGAUAUAGAUUCGUAAGAAUCGUCGAUAAUUCUUCUUAUCGAUCAUUCUACACCGGAUGCAGAUUUAUAAGCCUUUCAGAUUACGCGAGCCCCUCGUCGUCGGUGCAUCGAUGCAACGGUCCUUCCUUCUCCCCUCUCUUCCCCCUUCUCUCUCUUUCUCUCUUUCUCUCUCUCAAUCUCUAUGACGGUUUAUCAAUCUGUCGUUGCCCCUCUCCUCAACUCCUCUCGUGUUCUUCGUACUCGUGGCUCGUGCAGUUUUGUAAUUUCAACCUCAUUUUUGCGCAUCGCUAUCGCACCGUGCAAACACGAUAAAGUGACUUUAUCAGACGCAACCCACGAAAGAGAGAGAGAGAGAAAAAAAAGAAAGAGAAAGAGGAAAAGAGAGAGAGAGAGAGAGAGAGAGAGAGAGAACGCGAGCUUAUCGGCGUGCUUUAUUUUUUCAGGCCACUCAAGCAUUUUCGCAAGAGUCUGUUGCACCUCCGUGCCGUCUGAGUUGGCGGGACUCGCGGAAAAAAAAAGAAUGAAAAUAAAAGAAGUGUCGCAAUAGCCUCGUCACGGCCCACGAGUCGUUUAUUUUCCACGCCUUUUCGCGUUUGCUCUUUUCCGCCCUGAAACUAAAUUAUACAGUGUAACGAAAAAAAAAAAAAGAAAGAUAAUUUGACAAAAAUCUCUUGAUUCUAAUGUACAAAGAUCCAAUUAAAAUGAAAAACAAAAUUUCGAAUAUAACUCGUACGAAGGAGUCAUUUGAAACGAUACUGGCAAUAAACAUUAAGUAUUAAGUGAAAAGGAAAUUACUCGUCUCAAACAAGAUCCUAUUUCAGCAGUAUAAUCAGUUUUUAACAAACAGUGGAUGAGGAUUCGACUACUCUAGAAAAAAAAUAUACCGAAGGCAGAAGAAAGAAAUUACGUUACGAUAUCUAUAUAUAUAUACAUAAUCACUUAUUAUAAUUCAUAUAUAAAUAUCAUAUUAAGAUUAGUAAAAUUAUAGAUUCAUAAUCUAUUUUUAAUUAUUACAUAGUAUAUACACAGUUAUACUAAAAGUUAUA